GAUAACUACUUGGACUAUAAAACUGUAAAUUUUACAAAGCAAGAAUUAUUGUUAUCA
rnacentral:tRNA from 3 species